AGAAAAUGAUACUUCUACAGCCAAAGAAGCAUUAUUUAAUACUUGGGCUGUCUGCUGAGGCCUCACGUUGUUAUGCCACAGGAAGAAAAUAAGUGACGCUUCUAAGGAAAAAAUAUUAAAUCAAGAAUAUUGAUUAGAAAAGUCUCCUAUGUUGACAUGCAUUUUAGAAAUUCAAUUUUAUGAAGAACAUUUUGUUAAGAAGACAAUGGGAUGGGACUGCAGUAAGGGAGCAAAUACGCUUCAUGUUUAAUGUGGCUGAAUGCUGCUCAGCAAUUGUGGAAUGAAUCUGUCCUUUGGUCACAACACCGUAGCAUGAAUUUACUGAAAGUUUUCAGAGAGAUUCAUAGCAUGUUACCCAUUUUAUGCCCGUGCAAGAUAGAUCCCUUGUGUCUAAUCUGCCAAAGUACCCUGCACUCACAGCUGCAACUGGAGUCAGUGUGGCAGACAGAACAUAAAUGCUAUAUAUUGCCUUCAUAGCAACCUCAGAUGAAAUUUCUGAACGCUUCAACUGCACUGAAAACAAUAAAGAAGACAAUUAAAAUGUAAGYGGCUAUCCAUAGUUAUCACAAGUGAGAAAGUUUACUUCCAGCAUUUUCAGUCUGUCAUCCAUGAUUGAAAAAACAGGCAGAUUUCAAUCCGUGAAACAGCACAUCAGUGAAAGAAGGGACUGUAUGAACAGGACAGCCUACACCACACAAGUAGGAGGCUAAUCUUCUCAGUUGGAAACUAGCUGGAGCAGCCAGGAUAUUAAAUCAGCAACACAAGGGGAGAUUAUUUGGAAGGCAAAUGAGGGACAUGCUCAAAUUCAGCACCKAACGAGCAAGUUGAACCAAUGUGGCAAAGGAUAUAAUGAAAAGAAUCUCUUCACUAUUUUAUGCUUUGAUCCUAGGAAUCUGGGUAAGCAGCAAGAGGAAACUCUCAUUGAUGGGAAUAAAUUUUAUAUAACCAAUAUUACUAAAAUCUGGUGGACAACUGGCAUGUUAAAGUCUCUGAUUAACAGGAAGGAUAAGCGAGGCAGAAUGGAAACAGGAUGCCUUAACACCCCCCUCCCCCACCAGGCCAUUAUUCCUUUUAGAAUGAUCAGUAACACAGGACCACAGCUCUUGAACACGUAGAGGUCAAUAUGCUAACUAAAAUAACUUAAGAAAGACUUGCUGGUCAGCUAACUAGGGCACGGAUCAAGCUUUUUUUUCCAGCACAUUUUUAUAAUCUUUGGAAAGGAAAAGAAUGAUGCUACACUGCCAGUUUAGGAUACAUAUUCUGUGAGUUCUUUGUGAACAAUUAUAAACUAAUUUUAUACACUUCCAAAAACCAUAUAUUAUUUAUGAGCAUGAGGUAAACAAUCUCAUUAUAAAACUAGAAAUGUCAAUCACUGUAAUGAAUAUGAUAUCUACUUGGAGAUAAGUGAUAAUAAACUGAUUGAAUUCCACAUGGGAAAAAGCAGCCAGAAUCUUUACAUGCACAGAAAUACUUAAACAUGUAUUUGAAGUACUUGAGAGAAAAAAGAAUAGGAGAAUGUCACAGAAAAAUGGGGAGUCCUUUAAGGGUUGCUAUAAAAAAAAUUACCUCACAACCAAGC